rnacentral:rRNA from 1 species
GAUGAACGCUAGCUACAGGCUUAACACAUGCAAGUCGAGGGGAAACGGCAUCGAAAGCUUGCUUUUGAUGGGCGUCGACCGGCGCACGGGUGAGUAACGCGUAUCCAACCUGCCCAUCACUUGGGAAUAACCUUGCGAAAGUAAGACUAAUGCCCAAUGACAUCCCACGAAGGCAUCCGAAUGGGAUUAAAGAUUUAUCGGUGAUGGAUGGGGAUGCGUCUGAUUAGCUUGUUGGCGGGGUGACGGCCCACCAAGGCAACGAUCAGUAGGGGUUCUGAGAGGAAGGUCCCCCACAUUGGAACUGAGACACGGUCCAAACUACUACGGGAGGCAGCAGUGAGGAAUAUUGGUCAAUGGGCGAGAGCCUGAACCAGCCAAGUAGCGUGCAGGAUGACGGCCCUAUGGGUUGUAAACUGCUUUUAUAAGGGAAUAAAGUGGGUAACGUGUGACUUUUUGCAUGUACCUUAUGAAUAAGGACCGGCUAAUUCCGUG